rnacentral:rRNA from 1 species
GAUGAACGCUGGCGGCGUGCCUAAUACAUGCAAGUCGAGCGAAGCGGGGACGGGUGAGUAACACGUGGCUAACUUCCUAUACGAAUGGGAUAACUUCGGGAAACCGGAGCUAAACCGGCUACUUAUAGGUGGAUUUGCGCUGCAUUGGAUAGUUUUUAAUGUAACGGCUUACCAAGGCAACGAUGCAUAGCCGACCUGUGAGGACGCUCGGCCAGACGGGAUCUGAGACACGGUCCAGACUCCUACGGAACGCAGCAUUGGGGUAUCUUCCGCAAUGGGCAAAAGCGUGAUUGAGCAACGCCGCGUGAGUGAUGAAGUUCUUCGGGUCGUAAAACUCUGUUAUUAUGGAAGCGUUACCUAAUCAGAAAGCCACGGCUAACUACGUGCCAGCAGCCGCGGUUAUUC